rnacentral:rRNA from 1 species
CCUACGGGAGGCAGCAGUGGGGGAUAUUGCACAAUGGGGGAAACCCUGAUGCAGCGACGCCGCGUGUGGGAAGACGGUCCUCUGGAUUGUAAACCACUGUCCCCAGGGACGAAGAUGACUGUACCUGGGGAGGAAGCUCCGGCUAACUACGUGCCAGCAGCCGCGGUAAUACGUAGGGAGCGAGCGUUGUCCGGAAUUACUGGGUGUAAAGGGAGCGUAGGCGGGGAUGCAAGUUGGGUGGAAAUACUACCGGCUCAACUGGUAGUCGCACUCAAAACUGCAGCUCUUGAGUGAAGUAGAGGCAGGUGGAAUUCCAAGUGUAGGGGUGAAAUGCGUAGAUAUUAGGAGGAACACCAGUGGCGAAGGCGGCCUGCUGGGCUUUUACUGACGCUGAGGCGCGAAAGUGUGGGGAGCAAACAGGAUUAGAUACCCCAGUAGUC